CUGCCAGUCAGGCUCCUGGCAGGAGUCCUGCUCUCAGCUGGUUCCAGGCUCUAGCCAGGGGCUUGACUGCAAG
rfam:Mus musculus chromosome 7, GRC primary reference assembly.